rnacentral:rRNA from 1 species
AGGGUUUGAUUAUGGCUCAGAACGUACGCUGGCGGCACGCCUAACACAUGCAAGUCGAACGAAGUAGCAAUACUUAGUGGCAGACGGGUGAGUAACAUGUAGGUAUCUACCCUUUGGCCUGGAAUAACACGAGGAAACUUGUGCUAAUACCGGAUAAGUCUUUACGGAGAAAGCUUUAUGCACCAUUGGAUGAGCCUGCACUUGAUUAGUUUGUUGGUGGGGUAAUGGCCUACCAAGACUGUGAUCAAUAGCUGAUUUGAGAGGAUGAUCAGCCACAUUGGGACUGAGACACGGCCCAAACUCCUACGGGAGGCAGCAGUGGGGAAUCUUGCACAAUGGAGGAAGCUCUGAUGCAGCGAUGCCGCGUGAGUGAAGAAGGCCCUUGGGUUGUAAAGCUCUUUCGUCGGGGAAGAAAAUGACUGUACCCGAAUAAGAAGGUCCGGCUAACUUCGUGCCAGCAGCCGCGGUAAUACGAAGGGACCUAGCGUAGUUCGGAAUUACUGGGCUUAAAGAGUUCGUAGGUGGUUGAAAAAGUUAGUGGUGAAAUCCCAGAGCUUAACUCUGGAACUGCCAUUAAAACUUUUCAGCUAGAGUAUGAUAGAGGAAAGCAGAAUUUCUAGUGUAGAGGUGAAAUUCGUAGAUAUAGAAAGAAUACCAAUUGCGAAGGCAGCUUUCUGGAUCAUUACUGACACUGAGGAACGAAAGCAUGGGUAGCGAAGAGGAUUAGAUACCCUCGUAGUCCAUGCCGUAAACGAUGUGUGUUAGACGUUGGAAAUUUAUUUUCAGUGUCGCAGCGAAAGCGAUAAACACACCGCCUGGGGAGUACGACCGCAAGGCUAAAACUCAAAUGAAUUGACGGGGACCCGCACAAGUAGUGGAGCAUGUGGUUUAAUUCGAAGAUACGCGCAGAACCUUACCAACACUUGACAUGUUCGUCGCGACUCUAAGAGAUUAGAGUUUUCGGUUCGGCCGGACGAAACACAGGUGCUGCAUGGCUGUCGUCAGCUCGUGUCGUGAGAUGUUGGGUUAAGUCCCGCAACGAGCGCAACCCUCACUUUUAGUUGCCAUCAUUUAGUUGGGCACUCUGAAAGAACUGCCAGUGAUAAGCUGGAGGAAGGUGGGGAUGACGUCAAGUCCUCAUGGCCCUUACGUGUUGGGCUACACACGUGCUACAAUGGUAUCUACAACAGGAAGCAAGACUGCGAGGUCAAGCAAAUCCUUAAAAGAUACCUCAGUUCGGAUUGCACUCUGCAACUCGAGUGCAUGAAGCUGGAAUUACUAGUAAUCGUGGAUCAGCGUGCCACGGUGAAUGCGUUCCCGGGUCUUGUACACACCGCCCGUCACACCAUGGGAGUUGGUUCUACCUUAAGGCAAGGUUUAAAACCCUUGACCACGGUAUAGUCAGCGACUGGGGUGAAGUCGUAACAAGGUAGCC